AUGUCUCCAAGUUCUCCUGGAGUAGUUCCUACUAUCCAAUAAUUUCAGCCUCUGAAGAGGAAAGAUCUUCUGACUCCAGCACACCCAGGCUUCAGAGAGUGAUUUCUUCUCUUUGUGUAUGCACACUGAUGACAGAGGACUGUAAUGCAGCCCUAGAUUAGCAACAACCUGCAGUCUGACUUGAAC